GUGUGCUUCAUGAUCAUGUAUAUUUUAUGAAGAUUUAUUAGACCAAAACUUAUAAAAUUUAUCUUAAAGUAAUUACUUUUGUAAUAACUGUACAUUUUAGCAUUAUUUUUAUCUGUUGGAAUAUUUUCAUAGCUAGUAAAAUUCACCAUAAUCAUUAAUUAGAGCUGUAAUAGUUAGUAAAAUUCACCAUAAUCAUUAAUUAGAGCUGUAAUUUACACUUUUAUAUUAAAUUUACAUUUACACUUUAACUGAUUGAUAGAACAUCAACCUAAAUACCCAAAAGGAAAUUUUUAAUCAAGUGACUUCUAGGAGGGUGCCUGUUCUGACGGUGGCUAUUCAGAAACAAAGAGCAAAUCUCAAGAAGAGACCUGGUUCCCACGCUGGCCACACCUGUUGCCACACUGAUGGGAUGUGCUGAUCACAGCCCAGGACGGCUCAUGGAGGAGAGAGGGACCCUCCCCAGGUCGAAGGUCCAAGGUUUGGAUGAUGGGGUGCGGCCCAGGAUGGGUGCCAGGGAUCUGGAGGACAUGAGUGGAUGAAGGCCCCCGGCUUCAGCUUCCUCUUGGUGGAAUGUGGGUGAUGAGGUCCGACCAUGCAGCGCUGCUGUGAGGAUCGGAUGAGAGGAUCCCUGGGAGGUGGUCGGUGACUUGGUACCGUCACCUCAGUGACUGUUCUUCAUCCUCAUGGAUGUUCAAAGAAGACUCCUUCAUUCCCUUCAGGAGACGGGACCGAUACAACCUCUGAAAAGUUCAUCACCUUAGCCGAACUUUAUAGCACUUUCUUCCUUUUCCAAUUUAUUUGAUGCUAUUUAAAUCAGACCUAGUGAUUCUGGGAAGCCCGGGAUUCCUGUCCUUUACAGGAGACGCCAGGUGUCUUCUGUGCGCAUGCGCGACAUUUGGGAGGAAACCCAGAGCCUCGACUCUGAGCUUGCUGGACUCAGGUCCAAGGAGGGAUUCACCACGUUGGUGUAAGGUGUGGUCUGUGUUUCAGAUUCAUGUACCAGAUGAGGUGAUGCUUUGAUGUCAGUACCUCCUGUUGGGGGAAGGUAGGGGAUCUGGACCAGUGGUCUAGAGGGUCCGUAUGGGGCAGGACCCAGACACCUGAGGAUACCGGGUUUAAGAGGGGCGGGACUGAACGAGGCCUCUCCGCGCACACGCGGUGCCUUGGGCACCUACAUCGUGCUGUGCGGCUUCCGUGGGGGCGUCCAGGGCGGGGUCUGAGCUGGGAGACCCGCCUCUGUCCUGUUCUCCUGCAGUCACUUAAAACUUUUUAGUUUUCCACUGAAAUAUCCAGAUGAGAUCGUUUCAUGGGUGGGGAGAAUGGAGGCAGGGAGAGUCACAUGUGGACAGGGUGAAGGUUUAGGACGCUCACUGUGGAGGAUGAAGAAGCAGCCGCCCUGUAGGUGGUGUGGGUCUGUCGCUCUCUAGGCGUCGGCACAGCCCUUACGCACUGCAGAAUCCUAGCAUGGGGAGGCAGAGCUCACCCAGCAGUGGGUGUGCGCCCACUGAUAAGCCCUGAGCUAGGGUUAGGCCUGUGAGACAGGGCAUUUGCCCUGUGAUGUCAGAUUGCUGCCAUCCUUAUGUGCUGGGUCCAGAGUUCCGGCAGGUGCAGACACCUGGCCACUGGGCCCGUCUGGGGCCACUGAGGCGAUGCUGCGGCCUGUGGGGCCAUGAUGGAACCCUUCCAGUCAGAAUCUGCCCGGGAAGCCAUGGGGCAGUCUGGGAGCCUGGGGUUGGCCCCGGGUGACUGAGGCCCGUGGACGCAGGUCUGGGCGCUGUGCAGACCCCCUGGCCCUGGGAAACAGGACCCAGAAAGGUGGUAGCUUCUUUGAUUUCAAGGAAUCCAGGUUGAUGGAGACCCUAGGGCUGAGCCCUCCCUAAGGAAGUUGCUUCUGGGUCGGGUAAACAGCAGCGUGGCCCGCUCCCUGCGAUCUAUUCCGCAUCAGCACUGGGCACGAGGGUUUGUCCCUGGCAUAGGGCCUGAAGAAUGUGCUUCAGGUGCCUUGGCCGGCCUUUGCUUCCUCCUUCCAACCCCGGGGGCUCCUCCAUGGCCCACACCCUCCGCAUCCUGCCCCACCCACUCCUGCUCAGGCUCCAGCUUUGGCCCAAAGUCAGACUAAGUGUGGCAUCUCUGGGCCCUGGACCUGCCCAGUGGGUUUUCCACGAUCCCAGGGGACGCAUGCCUGGGACAGGUGUGUGGCAGGUCAGGUUUCUGUUAGCGACCAGAAGAGUCAGUCUCCACUAAACUUUAAUUUGAUGAAUGCACACAUUAAACAUUAUAGGACUGCAAAAACUAGUGCCUGGGGACUAGGGCGGGAAUGAGAAAACAAGCCCAUUAAACCCCCAGCUGGGUUUGCUCAGAUCCUGAAGUCUGAUCAAAUAAUAAUAGCAUUCUUACACAUAUUCCUCAUACUAGGGUCCACUUAAGAUUAAGAAACUGUCCAAGACUCUGGAGAAAGCUUUCCAGACCCUAGUCACGACUUAAAGUUUAGAUAUUGAUAGAAUGAAAAAUACGCUGUCUUGCAGGUGCACUCCGCACACAGGUGUGGAGCUUAGAAUGUAUAUAAGCACUAGAAAAAGAAGCUUGUAACUUUGAGUUGGUCCGGUAAGCUACUCCGACCUUCUCCCCGUAACUGGUUGCAGAAAGAACCUCCGUUCUUUUCCAGUCUGUCUGCAUCUCCUUAAUGGACAUCGAGAAUAAACAGCCGGAUCCUGUUCUGUCCCAGAACUGGUGUGGGACAGGGAGUGCCUCUCCGAAGCCCUCCCUCGAUCCCCACCUCCUCCCCACCCAACCUGGGCUGCUCCCGAUCCUGGGACUGGGUUCAGGGAGCCAUGGGGUGGUGGAGGCUGGUGUAGUAGGGUGACCCCUGUCCCAGGGGUGGCCAGGGCCCUAGUCACCAAGGACGAAUAACAAAAUAAUAAAUUUAAAAAAUAAA